UACGUAGGGUGCAAGCGUUGUCCGGAAUUAUUGGGCGUAACGAGCUCGUAGGUGGCGGGUCACGUCGGGUGUGAAAGCCCGGGGCUUAACCCCGGGUCUGCAUUCGAUACGGGUCUGCUGGGGUCCGGCAGGGGAGACUGGAAUUCCUGGUGUAGCGGUGAAAUGCGCAGAUAUCAGGAGGAACACCGGUGGCGAAGGCGGGUCUCUGGGCCGGUACCGACGCUGAGGAGCGAAAGCGUGGGGAGCGAACAGG
rnacentral:rRNA from 1 species